GCGGGCGUGGCGAAAUUGGCACACGCGCAUGGCUUAGGACCAUGUGGAGAAAUCCUUGGGGGUUCAAGUCCCUCCGCCCGCACCA
rnacentral:tRNA from 2 species